AGCCAGGUGUGAGUGCCCCAGCCCAACUCUCGGUGGUCUCCAGACUGCAGCAGAGGAACACCGAACAACUGGAUGUUGUAAAUGUUUCUCAUCUGGCCUUUAAAAAAAAAAAAAAAGCAUGAAAGCUGAAAAUGCCAAGGCAUCUGUGCACAUGCUGGUGGAUUUUAAUGAGAGUCCUGUGCUUGGAGCACCAGAAAUAAACCAGCUUCACAAGCAAAGUAACAAAAGGCCUUCGAUGAUGACACUGGCCAUGGGUAUUACUACAUGCAGCUGGUAAGUGGGUGAUCCUGGGACACCUGUCCUGCAAACUGUCCACCCUGACUCGGCUACUUCUGCAGUUGUGCCUGAAUAACUGAAAAACUUCGAAGGGGAGAGGUGGCUGGGCCCUCCAGGGGGACAGUCCCUCCCUAACUCCAUGUGAUCUUGGUGGUGCUCUCCACUACGGUACCAUCCUCGCUCCCCCGGGGGCCAGGGGACAAGGAAGCCAACUGGGCUGGGUCAAUGAGAGUCCCCCGAUCACAGUUCCUGGUUCAAAGAUGGCCACAUGCCUGAGCAGCUUUGAAACCACAAGGAUGUCAUUUCCUUCUAAGAACGAAGUUAACAGGUGGAAGAAGCAGAACUAGAGAUGGAACGAGACCCAGUCAGCCUGGGCUCCAGUGACAUCAGCCGUCGGAGUUUUGUUCUUUGUCACCCACA